GUGCAGCAGUCGAGAAAACUUUACAAUGCGGGAAACCGUGAUAAGGGAACCUCGAGUGCUGGCGCAUAGCGUCGGCUGUCCAGAUGCCUAAAAGCAUCUGAUAGCAAGGGCCGGGCAAGACCGGUGCCAGCCGGCCGCGGUAACACCGGGCGGCUCGAGUGGUGGCCACGUUUAUUGGGGUCUAAAAGGCGUCCGUAGCCGGCUCGGCAAGUCCCCUGGGAAAUCUGGCGGCUCAACCGUCAGGCGUCCAGAGGGAUACUGCUGGGGCUUGGGGACCGGGAGAGGUGAGAGGGUACCUCGAGGGGGUAGGGGUGAAAUCUUGUGAUCCCCUGGAGGGACCACC
rnacentral:rRNA from 1 species